UACCGGCGGCUCGAGUGGUGGCCGCUAUUACUGGGCUUAAAGGGUCCGUAGCUGGAUGUACAAGUCCCUUGAGAAAUCCGCCGGCUUAACCGGCGGGCGUUCAGGGGAAACUGUAUUUCUAGGGACCGGGAGAGGUGAGAGGUACUGCCGGGGUAGGAGUGAAAUCCUGUAAUCCCGGUGGGACCACCUAUGGCGAAGGCAUCUCACCAGAACGGGUCCGACAGUGAGGGACGAAAGCUGGGGGGGCAAACCGG
rnacentral:rRNA from 1 species